CGCGGCCUAUCAGCUUGUUGGUGAGGUAAUGGCUCACCAAGGCGUCGACGGGUAGCCGGCCUGAGAGGGCGACCGGCCACACUGGGACUGAGAUACGGCCCAGACUCCUACGGGAGGCAGCAGUGGGGAAUAUUGCGCAAUGGGCGAAAGCCUGACGCAGCAACGCCGCGUGCGGGAUGACGGCCUUCGGGUUGUAAACCGCUUUCAGCAGGGACGAAGGGUUACCUUGACGGUACCUGCAGAAGAAGCACCGGCUAACUACGUGCCAGCAGCCGCGGUGAUACGUAGGGUGCGAGCGUUGUCCGGAAUUAUUGGGCGUAAAGAGCUUGUAGGCGGUCUGUUGCGUCGGAAGUGAAAACUCAGGGCUUAACCCUGAGCCUGCUUUCGAUACGGGCAGACUUGAGGGAUGUAGGGGAGAAUGGAAUUCCUGGUGGAGCGGUGGAAUGCGCAGAUAUCAGGAGGAACACCAGUGGCGAAGGCGGUUCUCUGGACAUUUCCUGACGCUGAGAAGCGAAAGCGUGGGGAGCAAACAGGCUUAGAUACCCUGGUAGUCCACGCCGUAAACGGUGGGCACUAGGUGUGGGACCCAUUCCACGGGUUCCGUGCCGAAGCUAACGCAUUAAGUGCCCCGCCUGGGGAGUACGG
rnacentral:rRNA from 1 species